CUACAAACUAUCAGAUAGAGCUUAACUAGUUAGUGAUUAUAAU
rnacentral:guide_RNA from 1 species